AGGAGAGGGAGUUGAAAUAGGCGAUUGGAAUGGUGAGAAAAGAGAAACCCGGAAAGGGGAAAUAAGUAAAGAAGAAGAGAAGAGGGGGGGAGGUUUCAUGGAGGAAGAAAAUGGGAAGAGUCCACGUGGUGAUCAGUGGUGAAGGGUUCACAUCGUGUACGGUUAGAGAGAAACGCAGGUUCUGGUGAGUGUGCUCUCAAGUUGCAGGUCGAGGCUCCAAUCAGCCACUCCCACCACCUGCAAGUAGCCG
rnacentral:misc_RNA from 1 species